GUUCUUUGAUUUUGGUAAGUACUUAUGACUCUCUCUCUCUAGUUCGUUCUAUAGGGGGGAUCGUUUGUCUAACGUUGUUUUCCCUUAUCGAACUUUGUUAGGGACGCUUCUUCUAGUCUGCUUGUACCCUUGACUUGUGUGGGUUAGAGCCGAUUAUACUUCCUUCCAAUCUAGUUAUUGCGUUUUUUGUAAGUAGACAUAUGUCAAAGUUUUAGAUUAUUCUUUUAGGGGAUGAUGGAUAAGACUCGGCUG
rnacentral:lncRNA from 1 species